rnacentral:rRNA from 1 species
AGUGAACGCUGGCGGUAGGCCUAACACAUGCAAGUCGAACGGCAGCACAGUAAGAGCUUGCUCUUACGGGUGGCGAGUGGCGGACGGGUGAGGAAUACAUCGGAAUCUACUUUUUCGUGGGGGAUAACGUAGGGAAACUUACGCUAAUACCGCAUACGACCUACGGGUGAAAGCAGGGGAUCUUCGGACCUUGCGCGAUUGAAUGAGCCGAUGUCGGAUUAGCUAGUUGGCGGGGUAAAGGCCCACCAAGGCGACGAUCCGUAGCUGGUCUGAGAGGAUGAUCAGCCACACUGGAACUGAGACACGGUCCAGACUCCUACGGGAGGCAGCAGUGGGGAAUAUUAGACAAUGGGCGCAAGCCUGAUCCAGCCAUACCGCGUGGGUGAAGAAGGCCUUCGGGUUGUAAGCCCUUUUGUUGGGAAAGAAAAGCAGCAGGUUAAUACCCCGCUGUUCUGACGGUACCCAAAGAAUAAGCACCGGCUAACUUCGUG